rnacentral:rRNA from 1 species
UACGUAGGGAGCAAGCGUUGUUCGGAUUUACUGGGCGUAAAGCGCACGUAGGCGGAUUGUUAAGUCAGGGGUGAAAUCCCGGAGCUCAACUCCGGAACUGCCUUUGAUACUGGCAAUCUUGAGACUGGAAGAGGUUAGUGGAAUUCCCAGUGUAGAGGUGAAAUUCGUAGAUAUUGGGAAGAACACCAGUGGCGAAGGCGGCUAACUGGUCCAGUACUGACGCUGAGACGCGAAAGCGUGGGGAGCAAACAGGG